rnacentral:SRP_RNA from 1 species
GCUGGGCGCCAUGGCACGUGCCUGUAGUCCCAGCUAUUCUGGAGGCUGAGGCUGGAGGAUCUCUUGAGACCAGGAGUUCUGGGCUGUAGUGCACUAUGCCAUUCGGGUGUCCGCACUAAGUUUGGCAUCAAUAUGGUGACCUCCCGGGAGUGGGAGACCACUGGGUUGCCUAACGAGGGGUGAAUCAACCCAGGUCAGAAACAGAGCAGGUCAGAACUCCCGUGCUGAUCAGUUGUGGGAUCGCGCCUGUGAAUAGCUACUGCACUCCAGCCUGGGCAACAUAGCGAGACCCCAUCUCU